GCUCAGGACGAACGCUGGCGGCGUGCCUAAUACAUGCAAGUGGAACGCACUUAUAUCACCGGAGCUUGCUCCACCGAUGUAAGUGAGUCGCGAACGGGUGAGUAACGCGUAGGUAACCUGCCUCAUAGCGGGGGAUAACUAUUGGAAACGAUAGCUAAUACCGCAUAAUAGUAUUUACCGCAUGGUAGAUGCUUGAAAGGAGCAAUUGCUUCACUAUGAGAUGGACCUGCGUUGUAUUAGCUAGUUGGUGGGGUAACGGCUCACCAAGGCAUCGAUACAUAGCCGACCUGAGAGGGUGAUCGGCCACACUGGGACUGAGACACGGCCCAGACUCCUACGGGAGGCAGCAGUAGGGAAUCUUCGGCAAUGGGGGGAACCCUGACCGAGCAACGCCGCGUGAGUGAAGAAGGUUUUCGGAUCGUAAAGCUCUGUUGUAAGAGAAGAACAGUGAGAAGAGUGGAAAGUUCUCACA
rnacentral:rRNA from 2 species